UACGUAGGGGGCAAGCGUUGUCCGGAAUCAUUGGGCGUAAAGAGCGUGUAGGCGGCCCGGUAAGUCCGCUGUGAAAGUCCAGGGCUCAACCCUGGGAUGCCGGUGGAUACUGUCGGGCUCGAGUCCGGAAGAGGAGUGUGGAAUUCCUGGUGUAGCGGUGAAAUGCGUAGAGAUGUGGAGGAACACCGAUGGCGAAGGCAGCCCCCUGGGUCAACACUGACGCUCAUGCACGAAAGCGUGGGGAGCAAACAGG
rnacentral:rRNA from 1 species